CCAGACUCCUACGGGAGGCAGCAGUGGGGAAUAUUGCACAAUGGGGGAAACCCUGAUGCAGCGACGCCGCGUGAGCGAGGAAGUAUUUCGGUAUGUAAAGCUCUGUCAGCAGGGAAGAAGAAUGACGGUACCUGAAGAAGAAGCACCGGCUAAAUACGUGCCAGCAGCCGCGGUAAUACGUAUGGUGCAAGCGUUAUCCGGAUUUACUGGGUGUAAAGGGAGCGCAGGCGGUUCUGCAAGUCUGAUGUGAAAGCCCGGGGCUCAACCGCGGGACUGCAUUGGAAACUGCGGGACUGGAGUGUCGGAGGGGUAAGCGGAAUUCCUGGUGUAGCGGUGAAAUGCGUAGAUAUCAGGAGGAACACCGGCGGCGAAGGCGGCCUGCUGGACCGUGACUGACGUUGAGGCUCGAGAGCGUGGGGAGCAAACAGGAUUAGAUACCCUCGUAC
rnacentral:rRNA from 1 species